CCCGAGCCGUCCGCGGCCGGGGGACCCCUGCCCGCUCUCCGCCUCGCCCGCUGGGCUGUGGAACUAGCGCGUGUCCCCUCGCCGGCCUUCGCGUCCCCGUCCGUCCCUCAGUCGUGGCGGGGCUCGGUUCGGGGCCUCUCAGUCUAGCUCUGCUCCGCGAGACUCCGCGGACCGGCUGGGGUGUUCGCUUCUCCCUGCUCCUCCAAGGCCUGAGGCUGUGGUUCAGAAAUGGCUGGGCGCCCAUGACCUCGCAUCAAGGUUCCUGACUUUCCAUGAUGUUUGGUGGUUUUGAGACCAUAGAAGCAUAUGAAGAUGAUCUUUAUCGUGAAGAAUCAUCUAGUGAACUGAGUGUUGAUAGUGAGGUGGAAUUUCAGCUCUACAGCCAAGUUCAUUAUGCCCAAGAUCUUGAUAAUGUCAUCAAGGAGGAAGAACAUGAAGAGACGAACUCUGGGAAUUCUCAAUCAUUCAGUAGUGCACCAAAUCAGAAGAACUUAAUUAUCCUUUCAGAUAGUGAGGUCAUCCAGCUAUCAGAUGGGUCAGAGGUCAUCACACUGUCUGAUGAAGAUAGUAUUUAUAGAUGUAAAAGAAAGAAUUUUAGAGUCCAUGCAAAAGAAAAGACCCAAGGUCCUCCUGCUUCUUUUCAUUCUAAUAAGUUGGCAGAUAAGAAAUGCAAGAAGGAUAUUGAAAAGACUAAACCUGAAGAGAGAUCGGGUACAAUCCAAGAGGUCAUGAUUAUAGAGGUCAGUUCAAGUGAAGAGGAAGAGAGCACCAUUUCAGAAAGCGAUAAUGUGGAAAGCUGGAUGCUGCUGGGAUGUGAAGUCGAUGAUAAAGAUGACGAUAUCCUUCUCAAUCUUGUGGGAUGUGAAAAGUCUGUUAAUGAAGGAGAAGAUGAUGUAAGCUGGUUCAUCAGUGACAAAGACGUUGAGGCACAGAUAGGUAAUAAAAGAUCAUCUGGAAGAUGGACCCACCGAUACUAUUCUGCCAACAAAAAUGUUACCUGUAGAAAUUGUGACAAAUGUGGCCAUUUGUCAAAAAACUGCCCCUUUCCACAAAAAGUCCGCGCCUGCUGCCUCUGCUCCGAGAGAGGACACCUCCAGUAUGCCUGUCCGGCUCGCUUUUGCUUAGACUGUUCUUUGCCUAUGUCUUCCACCCACAGAUGUCUUGAAAGACCUUCCUGGAGAAAACGGUGUGACCGAUGUGAUAUGAUAGGCCACUAUGCGGAUGCUUGCCCAGAAAUCUGGAGGCAGUAUCACCUAACGACCAAACCUGGACCACCCAAAAAGCCAAAGACCCCUUCUGGACAAUCAGCCUUAGUGUAUUGCUACAACUGCGGGCAAGAAGGCCACUACGGACAUGAAUGUAAAGAAAGACGAAUGUUUAACCAGACCUUCCCAACAUCUCCAUUCAUCUACUACUAUGAUGACAAAUAUGAAAUCCGGGAGAGAGAUCAGAGAAUAAAACGAAAAGUGAAAGAACUCCAGAAAAAUGGGGACUUUCCAAGGCAGUUCAAGAGGCCUCAUAUGGAAGCAACAGAUAAGAGGCCUCACCGUGAUAUGAGGAAGAGCCAUGCUUCAGGGAGAAAGAACAGGUGGCCUCAAGAAAAGAAAGAAACCCAAAAAGAAACCAUGAGCAGGAAUAGCAGAGAGCGUGAGAAGCACAGGAAGGCUGACAGGUGUCAUGAAGUGGACGAGGACUUCCCCAGGGGCCCCAAAGUCCACUCUUCUUCCGGCACUUUCAAAACCCAGAAGCCUCACAAGCCCUUUCACCACUCACUGCAUUACCACAAGCCAAGAGAAGACAGGCUGCCCAAAGAGGGCAAGAGGGGCAAGCAAAAGAAAAAGGAGAGCUGUUUGGAGGAUGAUGGCAAUGAUAAUUUAUUUCUCAUUAAGCAGAGGAAAAAAAAGUCUAAGCUGUGAGUCAGCUUCUGAUUUGGCUUCCCAGCAUUUGUCUGGUCUUCAUGUCUACAACACCCUGGCAAUAUUUUUAUUAUCUAUGAUUAAAUGAAAUGAGGUUUUUGUUUUUGUUUUUUUAAUCUCAGCCAUACCUAGAGCUAUUGAACAAAGUCCUUGGAGAUCUCAGUUUUUUGUGUCCAACAGGUUAAUAGGAAAGUGCUGAAAGAGAAGGAGAUGUUGGAGAACAGAAGAAGACUCAAUUGAUGGCGCUCAAGGAGGAGAGAAGGGAUGGAUCCAGAAGGAUGCCUGAAAGGAGUUGAAGGCUGGUGUGUAGACAGGUGAACAAGAUCAGAACCAAGCUGAAUCUACGUGGGGUAUAUUGUGCCAAACGCUGAUGCAGCCGGAGCUGCAGACUUUGACUGAUGCCAAGAAGGCCUUCCUGAUUGGAGUUUCCAACAGUGGGACAGACCACCUGGGAUGCAGUGGGCUCACGGUCCCUGGAGGCAUCCUCUGCUCAGAUGGCAGCUAUUUGCAGGAUGCUCUGGGCAUAGCCAUAGCUGGGCUGUGGCAUGGAGCCCGAGGGCAGGUGGGAGAAGAGACGUCCCUCCCAGCCAGGAGCUCUUUUAGCACAGUGAACUGAGCACCUCCUGAGUUACACCUCCCCACAAAGUUGUUACCAGGAGCCAGGGAACAAAUAAACAUGAAGAUACAGGAACAUGGGGGAAGACACCUGAAAGACCUCAAGUUCCUGGACCAUCAGGGGCCAACACAAGUCCUGAUACUUGCUAUAAGAAAUCAUCUCGGGGACCUAAUGAAACUUAAAAGCUUUUGCACAGCGAAAGAAUCCAUAAACAAGACACGAAGACAACCCUCAGAAUGGGAGAAAAUACUUGCCAAUGAAGCAAUGGACAAAGGAUUAAUCUCCAAAAUAUACAAGCAGCUCAUACAGCUUAAUACCAAAAAAGCAAAUAACCCAAUCCACAAAUAGGCAGAAGACCUAAAUAGACAUUUCUCCAAAGAAGACAUACAGAAGGCCAACAAACACAUGAAAAGAUGCUCAACAUCACUAAUUAUUAGAGAAAUGCAGGUCAAAGCCACACCGGUCAGAAUGGCCAUCAUCAAAAAAUCUAGAGACAAUAAAUGUUGGAGAGGGUGUAGAAAAAAGGGAACUCUCCUGCACUGUUGGUGGGAUUGUAAGAUGGUACAGUCACUAUGGAAAACAGUUUGGAGGUUCCUUAAAAAACUGCAAAUAGAACUACCAUAUGAUCCAGUAAUCCCACUCCUGGGCAUAUACCCAAAGAAAACCAUAAUCCCAAAAGAAACUUGUACCAUAAUGUUCAUUGCAGCACUAUUUACAAUAGCCAGGACAUGGAAGCAACCUAGAUGCCCAUCAACAGAUGAAUGGAUAAAGAAGAUGUGGCACAUAUAUACAAUGGAAUAUUAGCCAUAAAAAGGAAUGAAAUUGAACUAUAUGUCAUGAGGUGGAUAGACCUAGAGUCUGUCAUACAGAGUGAAGUAAGCCAGAAAGAGAAAAACAAAUACUAUAUGCUAACACAUAUAUAUGGAAUCUGAAGAAAUGGUACUGAUGAAACCAGUGACAGGCAAGAGUGGAGAUACAGAAGU